rnacentral:lncRNA from 1 species
AUGUUUUCCUUCCAUAGUUGUUCAAUGUUGCUAUAAGGUAGGAGAAGUAUAACAAGGUUUUCCGGUUUGAAACUUGAAGGUAAUAAUCGUAAAGGACAUCCCAUCCAAUCUAAAAGUCGUAACUCAUUAGAAAGAUAUGUCAGAUCAUAACAAUUUGUCCGACAAAGGAUUUUGAGUAGUCUUAAUCUUUUCAUCUUCAAGAAAGCAUCCGUGCUCAAAGUGAGAGUCUUGCUCAUAUCCCUAGGAAGAAUAAAAGUAUGAUUAUACAUGUACAAAACAUUUAGUAUCUAAAAGUUAGGACGAAUAUUCGAACAUAGAUAUAAUAUAUGAUCCUUCAAGGAAUCUCAAAAAGAAUGAAAAUGUAAAAGAAAAUGAAUAUGCUCAUACCAAACACAUGUAUAUAUAACACCUAUACCCAAAUUUGAAUAAAGUAGGUUGAAAAAAUUGGAGUUGAUAUUCACAAACUCACAGCCAAACCAUGAUAUACACACAAGAAAAGCGUUUGACUAAAGAGAAAAUGCGAAAAAAUAGAUACAUGCGAAUGUAAUGACAUUACGAUUACACCAAAAUACAUGCAACGAACUUUUACAAUUACCAUAAACAUACUCUUUAACUACUAUAUUAUUUUUCAUAACACAUGACGCUUCUUUUUUAUUAUUCUCCUAACACAUAUGUGUAUGUUUUCUCACCUUUUAUUGUCGAUGGUUAUGCCUUCAAUCAUUUUUGUAGCCUAAAAAUAAAAAUAAAACACAACAAAAAAAUCGUGAAAUUUACAUUUAUGAUAAUUCAGCCUUAUUAUUAUUGGUUGAAAUAAUAAAAAUUUUCAACUAAAGUAGUUCAAUGAAAUAACAUUUCUAAUUUAUACAUAUCGUGGAGGUCUUUUUUAAUAUUACUAAUUAAAAAAAAUUAAAUGAUACAUUUUAAAAAUAUACAUGAUAAAUGUACUUCUUUUACUUUAUCAAUAUUUAAAAUAAACACUUUACAGAUAUAAUAGAUUAUAUAUAUUUUUAAUAAAAAAAUCAUAAAUUUAAUUAAUCUCACCUCUUAAUAUUAAUUGUUUGAAUUAAUUAAACUAAAGUAAGAAUAUAUAUAAUUUGUAUGGAAUGACUUACAGUUUUUGUUGUUAGCACAUGGUAGACAUCUCUUUCCACCCACAAUCUACAACGUUUUCCAGGUUCAUCAAUAGAUUUUUCUCUAACAAUUUUUCUUCCCAUUUCUUGCAGCAAGUCAUGCAUCCGCAAUUCGUUGUAUUUAUUAAUGGUUAGUAGAGAUUUUUUAAUGAGAACAUCGAUUCCAAUAUCUGAAAAAUACUCACAACCAUCCAGUACUUUCAUUACAAAAUCUUUCUCCGCCCCAUUAAAAAAGCAUGCUAUAUCUAGAAAUAUAUUCUUCUCCCUUUCUUCCAAUCCAUCAAAACUUAUUUGAAGUCUAUCAAGAAUUUCUUUGUUAGAAUCUCUUUCAAGUCUUUCUAUUGCGCUUGUCCAUUGCCUUGCAUCUCUAUCACACAGAAAAGAACCCAAAACUUCAAGAGCUAAGGGGAGUCCACCAGCAUAACCUACAAUUUGUUUAGCUAUCUCAAUGAAAUCCUCUUUUGGCACAGUCUCGCAACCGAAAGCUUUCAAAUUGAAAAGAUGAAGUGCAUCAUUGCCCGUCAAUGUUGUAGGCUUAUACACACCAUCAACUCGAUAAGAUCGGAGCAAAUGUUCAUCUCUUGUUGUUACAAUGAUUCUGCUCCCUAAACCAAACCAAUCACGCCUUCCAGCCAAGCAUUUUAAGUGCUGUAGGUUAUCAACAUCAUCAAGAACAACAAGAACUCUUUUGUGAGACAACCUGUGGCUAAUUAUGGUUUUCCCUUCAUGAACAUUGAAAAAAUCGAAGCUUUCGUCAAACAAGAUUUGGGAAAGUAAUUGUUUCUGUAAAGAAACAAGUCCACAUUUUUCUGAAACUUCUCGAACAUCAGCAAGGAAGCUUUUACCUUCAAAAUGAGGUGACAUUUGAUUGUAAACAACUCUUGCAAGAGUCGUUUUGCCAAUGCCACCCAUACCACAAAUUCCUAUGAUACGGAUGUCAUCUUCCCCAAUUUCUAUUUCCGAAUGCAACUCAUCCAAGCUUGGACUGAUUCCAACUAACUCAUCAUGGUCAAUUGGAUAUGUUUGACAUAACUUUGCUGAUAUUUUUUUAACAAUGUCUCCAAUAAAUUCUGAUUCAUGCCUACAAAGAUAUAAAGAUUUAAUUUUUAAUUAAGAAAUUGAUUGAUAUGUGUAUGAAGUUUAUAGUUUUUCCGGUGUUAUUGCCUUAUUUGCCUUAGAACACUAGAAAAUAACAAUUUUCCAAUUUUCUCGAUAUAUAUAAAAAAGCAGCUAAUUCAAAAAAAAAUUUGUAAGCAUUAAAUUUAAAACUAAAAAUGAAGAAAAAAGAAAACCUAUUAUUUGAGUGCCAUCCCUUGAUAUUAGCCACUUCAGUUAAAGCAUUUCUCCACCUUCGGAUUUUUGCUUCAUCUUCCUUGUAUCUCUCUUCGUGUUUGGCAAAAGCUGCUUCAACUUUCUCUUUUUGUUUUCUUAAAUCAGAUGGAUCCACACCAUAGAAAACUGGAAAUACUUUAUGACCAUUCUCCUCCUUUUGUUUAACAAUCUCAGCAAGUUCCUCCAAGCACCAACCUGAAAAGACAUAGUUUUCCGAGAAAACGAUUACUGAGCACCAUGAUUGUUGAAUUGCUUUGAAGAGCUCAGGUGCAAUCUCUUCGCCGGCCUCCAGCUUUGGAUCAUCCCUGAAAGUGACGAUUCCGCUCCUUCUCAAAGCAUCAUAGAGAUGGUCUGUGAAGUUAUGACGAGUAUCUUCACCUCUAAAACUCAAGAAUACGUCAUAUUCUGUUUGUCUAGGAAUAGACGAGGAAGUUGAGGGUAACGAGGACAUGAGGAAGUACGAGAAGGAAAAAGAUAUGACAAUCUAGUUUGGGAAAACCAGAAAAUAAGGUGGCUCAAUAUGCAGUAAGAAACUAGAAACAGACCGAGUAUAGGAGCAUCAAGAAAGGGAAAGCAGACACAGGUUUCUAAGCAAUUUCUCUAUACAGUUCCCACGUUUUUUUUUCCUUCAAAACGAAUCCCCAUAAUAAUAGCUAUGAAAAGGUCGGUGGAAGUUUGGUGACAAAUGAAAAUGAUGGUGUUUUCCAGGAAAAACCGUUGAAGGUGAGGGCAGAAUUGGUUGCUUUGCCUUUGUCCACAGAAUCUUUUUCCUUUCUUUUUGGUUCAAACAUAUUUUUCUUUUCCGUGUGGAAAGUGUCAAGUAAAGACAUCUUUUUACAAUUGGAAAUUUUGGGCUCAUUGCGGCCUGGUCAAGCUGGAAAAAGAGGCCCAAUGGGCCCAACAAUACGAAAACCCUUUUCUUUUUACAGUAUGCAGCCCAAAACAAAAGAAAAAGAAAAUCCCUCUGCUUUGAACCCCAGCCGACAGUCCCUCUGCUAUUUUUUUUUUUUUAAUAGAGAGGAAAACAACUAUCAAAAUCUAAAUCGAUGAAAGGGAGGUCCAAUGUGAUCCCGUUCAAGACUGUCUCUUAGCUCGUCUGGUAAAUCUUCUAGUAUUCGAAUCAUCGACGAAGUUGAGCCUUUUCUUCUCUAAACUAUCAACCAUACUGUUGACUGCACGCAAUCCAUUAUGAAACCCAACUGGCCAUAGUUGUUCCCUAAGUUUGCUUACAACACGCACCAACCUUAGGUUGCUUUCCUUUGCUUGAGUUGAAUUAAUGAGUUGAAUAGCAUCAUCACUAUCUAACUCAACAAGAAGUUGCAAAAAUCCCUUUUCCCAUGCAACACCAAGUCCAUCAAAAACUGCCCAAAACUCGACUUGCAGAGUCGAAGAAUAUCCAAUGCCUCUAAAGUACCCGGCAGUCCAUUAGCCUUGAGCAUCCCGAAAUACUCCUCCUACUGCUCCCAACCCAUUUGCAGCAGCCACAAUCUCGUCUAUGUUCAGUUUAAUCCAUCCAAUUGGUGGCUUUUCCCAUCUAAUUUCUCUAAUCAUCAUUUGUCUAUUUGGACCACCCAUCCUUUUAUUUAACAUCGCAUAUUCUGACAGGCCAUUAUUUCUCCGAAUUACAGCUUCUCUACCGAGGACAUUUUAACCUUUUUCCACACAAGAUGGCAUAUUUCCAUCCAAAUAGUAGAAGGGAGAUUAUGGAUGAACAAGCUUUUGCUAACAUUGCAGCAAUGAAAUUUCCAGUCAGAUAUGUUAACAGAUAAGAUAGAUAUAGAGAUGAGUAGCUUCAUGCAAAAUACACAAUCCUGGAUUCCUUGAAAGCAGGGGUGGAGCCAGGGGCGGGCAGGCAAGCACCCAAAAAUAGAAAAAUUUUCAUUUAGAUCCAUUAUAAUUUAUUAAAAUUUAAAUUAGUAAUUAUAAAAUUACACUUUAUCCCCUUAAAAAUGAUAAAAAUUUGAUUUAAUCCCCUAAGAUUAUAAAGAUAUAGGCUAUUAAAAUAGUGAAUUUUUUUAUAUAUAAUUUAUUUCCAACCUCUCCAAAAAAAAUUUCUAACUCCACCGCUACUUGAAAGCUAAAUCAUAAUAUGUAGAUAUGUCUACAAACUUAAUAUAUAAUCUUAGCUAUGAUUAAAAGAAAUUCUAAAAUACCAACAAGUGAUUGGACGACGUACUUUUGCCUUAGGCAUUUGGAUCUUGGAGUUAUCAUUGUUGUAAGGAGUUUAUGUGAUUUUCAUCCUCAACCUGAAUAAGAUUAGUAUUAGACUAUAAAAUAAACAACAACACAUAUGAUUAUACCCAAAAUCUAAAUUUUUUAACAAUUAUAUAAAUACAAAAUAAUAUUUUAAAAUAUAAAAAAAAGACACAAUAGUAUAUAUAACAUCAGUAAUGAGAAGUUGAGUGUUAAUUUGCUUCAAAUGAAAGUGUGUCAAAUUGAAUAAAUGUAUAAAAAUUAAGAGUUAAAUGCCGUAUAUAUAGAAUAUCAAAAUAUGCAUUUAACCGUAGAAAUUUAAUCAAUGGACAUUUUGCUACUUUAUCUAAGGUACAAAGUCCAAUAUGCCCAUUUUUUGGAUAGAAAACUAAAAAUGCAGUCCAAGAUAUAUGUACAAGGACUUUUAUGGGACUUUUGCUCCUGUUUUCUUUUGUUGCCACUACACCAAAACAGGCUUUUAGCGGCACAUUUUGAGGCGUUUAGAUAGAAAACGCCGCUAAAAAAUGAGAAAUAACGGCGCUUUAUAUAAAACGCCACAAAAAAUAUAAUUAGUGGCGUUUUUUUAAAAAACGCCGCAAAAAUCGAAACCCAACGAUGCCGUUUUCUGACUUUUCGGGGGCUUUAGCGGCGUUUUUAUGUAAGCGCCGCUAAUGUUCUGGGCUUUAGCGGCGUUUUUAUGUAAGCGCCGCUAAUGUUCUGGGAUUUAGCGGCGUUUUUAUUUAAGCGCCGCUAAUGUUUUGGGAUUUAGUGGCGUUUUUAGUAAAGCGCCGCUAAUGUUCUGGGCUUUAGCGGCAUUUUUGUUGAUGCGCCGCUAAAUUUAAAAAACGCCGCUAAUGCUCUCUAUUUAGUGGCAUUUUUGGAAAGCACCGCAAAAAAAUUAUUUACCUAUUUAUUAUUUAAUUGAUUUAUUUAUAUUAAUUAAAAUUAGAUGUUUUCAUUUAAGUUACCAUUAAGCUGUUAAAAUCGACGCCGGCCAUAUGGCUGUCUCAAAACCCUUUAACCCUAAAUUCAUAAUUCUUAAAACCCUAAACCCCUAAAAAUUUCAAAAAAAUAUAUUAAUGUAAAAGCUUAUAUAUGUUUAUAAACAUGAUGUACAUGUAUAUACAUAGAUAUAUAUAUUAAUGUAGAAGCUUGUAUAUGUUUAUAAAAAAUUGUGGAAGCAGUACUUAAUAUUGAUUAUAAAUUUUGGGGUUUAGGGUUUAAUUGAUGGUUUAAGGGCUAUAGUAUGUAGUUUAAGGGUUUUAUAGUUUAAGGUUUAAUGUUUACUAUAGUAUGUAGUUUAAGGGUUUCAUAGUUUAUGGUUUAGGGUUUGUUAUAUUGGGUUUGUGAUUUAGUGUUUUAAAGUUUGGAGUUUAGUUUUUAUAGUCAGAGUCUUAGUGUUUAAUUAUGGUUUUAAGGGCCGGUUAGGGUAUUAGGGUUUAAGGGUUAGGGAUUUUGGUAAAAAAUAUAAAGUUAUUUUAGGGUUCAAACAAGCAAUAAGAUUCUUUUUAAUUACUUUUAAUUGUAACUUAUAAUAUAUAUUUAUGGUUUAAAGUUUAUGGUGUUAGGGUACAUUUUGUGUUUAGUAUUUUAGGUUCAGUGGUUAAUGUUGUUAUUUGGAUUUAGGGUUUACGAUUUAGAGUAUGGUUUAUGGUAUAGUUUUUAAUUGUUAGUGUCUUAUUGUUUAUGGCUGUAACGGUUUAAGGUUUAUAAAAAAUGACAAAAAUUAAUUUAAUUUUAGUGUUUAUGCAUUAGUGGCGUUUUAGUAAAAAAUGCCACAAAUAUGUCACAGUAUGCAAAACGAUGACGUAUUAUUUUGUGUUUCUAGUGGCGUUUAUAGAAAACGCCGCAAAUUUGUUUCAGAAAUGGCAAAACGUUGCGUUUUGAUAUGUGUUCUUAGUGGCGAUUUCUACAAAACGCAGCAAAAGGAUAGAAAUUAGUGGCGUUUUUUUAAGCUGCGCCACAAAAUUUGUGCCUGAUACUGCAAAACGGUACGUUUUGAUGCAAAAUUUUAGUGGCGUUUUUUCGUAAAACGCCGUUAAAGGACUAUGCUUUAGUGACGCUUUAGCAGAAAACGCCACAAAAUAGGUUUUAAUAGUUUCUCAAACGGUGCCGUUUGUUCCUAUGAUUUUAGUGGCGCUUAUUAAGAAACGCCACAAAAUUUAAUUAAAACUAACAUAAACGGCAUCGUUUUAUUAACCCUGAAUUUCCUUUAAUUUCUCCCAUGUCAGAUUUCCCCGAUUUUGAAUGUUCACUGGUUGUUUGAAUAUAUGGAGAGUAAUUUUAAAAGUUGUUUUGUAUUUCCUUCAAUUUUAGUUUUUAUGUUUUGGCUUUAAUUUCAAUUUUAUUUUUUUAUGAUUCAGAAUCAAAAAUAAAAUCGUUCAGGAUCGAAUUCGAGUCCUCAUGUCUAAAAAUGAACCAAAGUCAAGGGAAACCUUGGAUUUUAUAGGUACAAACUUGAAUUUUACAAGGAAUUAUUUGAAUUUCUACAGAAAAACCAAUUUAUAUACAUAUUUUUAUAAUUUCCCUUUUUUUAGAAAUAAUUUUAUUUUAGUGUUUAUUAAAAAAGACGUGGAAUUGAUUUUAUUUUAGUGUUGAUGCAUUAGUGGCGUUUUAGUAAAAAACGCCACAAAUAUGUCACAGUAUGCAAAACGAUGACGUUUUAAAUUUUGUUACUAGUGGCGUUUAUAGAAAACGCCGCAACUUUGUUUCAGAAAUGGCUAAACAGUGCGUUUUGAUCUGUGUUCUUAGUGGCGUUUUUGCCAAACGCCGCAAAAGGAUAGAAAUUACUGGCGUUUUUUUAAAUUGCGCCGCAAAUUUAGGCCUUGAUACUGCGGAACGGUACGUUUUGAUGCAAAAUUUUAGUGGCGUUUUUUGUAAAACGCCGUAAAAGGACUAUGCUUUAGUGGCGCUUUAGCAGAAAACGCCACAAAUAGGUUUUAAUAGUUUCCCAAACGGUGCCGUUUUUCUUAUGCUUUAGUGGCGCUUUUUAAGAAACGCCACAAAAUUUAAUUAUACUAACCUAAACGUCGUCGUUUUAUUAACCCCGAAUUCCUUUACUUUGUCCCCCAAUUCAGAUUUACCCGAUCGACAAAAUUUCCCCCAUUUCCUUUCGCUGUUUCCCCUAAAUUUCCCUAGGUUAUUCUUCCCCAAAUUUUUUUCCCCAAUCCGAAACUUGCAAUCCCAUUGUGAUCCAAACCCCCAAUUCCCCAAAUCCCAUUAUUUCUCAUCCGGUUCGUCCAUGCUACUUCCAUUUUCUCCCAAACCGAAACUGUUUCCUUUCAAAAUUUAAAUCUUCCAAUCCGCCGUAAAGCUCGAAUCUUUAACCCGAUGGUGUUGGAACUGCGUCGCAUACAAGACAGGAACAACGCCGUUACUCUAUUCUGGUUCCUGCAUUCGACCCCUUGCUUAUUCUCGAUUUUGGGGUGUAAGUGUUCUUCCUUCUUUUUCUCGGUAGUAUAGAAUUUUAAUUUAAUUUUUUGUUGAAUUAGUAUUAUCAUUAUAAUAAUCCCUUCUCUGUUAUAAAUAUUGGUUGCAGUUAAUUAGUUAAAUGUUGUACUUAAUUAAAUUAUUAUCUACAACAAUCCGUUUGUGUAAAAGUUUAUUUUUAUUGCAAUGAAAAAUAUAGUUCAUCUAAUAUUAUAAGUUUAGAGCAGGUUAAGCCGCAUAUCAAUUUUGAGUAAAUUUUAUCAAAAACCUAAUACUUUUACGAUUUAAAAAUUGAAUUGUAAUUUGAUUUUUUAAAAACACCUUAGAAACACUUCUAAGCAUCUGUGGAAGGUUCAAGUAAAAUGACAAGUAAGAAAGGUUCAAGUAAGUUGUAGCAUGGUGCCUUGCUUUCUGCUUUAAUGUAAUUAUUUUGCUGAUGUUUAAGGAAAUUGUUGGUUCUAUUUAUAAAACUGUAUUUUGCUGAUGUUUAAGGAAAUUGUUGGUUCUAUUUAUAAAACUGUAUUUUGCUGAUGUUUAAGGAAAUUGCUGAUGCUUUAAUUGUAUUUUGUAUUUUGGAAAUCGUAAAACUGUUUAUUUGUUAUUGGUUAUUGUUAUUUACCAUGUGUAGGUAUAAGUAUAUCAUAAAACUAGAGGCAUUCGUAUGUCUAUUCGUAUGUCUAAGUAUAUCAUAAAACUGUUUAAUUGUAUUUUAUAUGUUAAUGCAUUCGUAGGUCUAAGUAUAUCAUAAAACUACCGAAAACAAAUACUAUUUUCGUUUGACUAAGUUUUAUCUUAGUAGUUUUCUACCCUUAGAUUUGACUAAUUUUUAUCCUCUAUAAUAUUUUUUCUAUUCUUGUAUAUAUUCUGACUUGUUAAUACUUGUCGGCAGCCCUCUGCUGCAUUUAAUCAGUUACUGCUUCCUACUCCUCCUGCAACUAUAUUGGUUCAACUGAAGCUGGCAUUUAAUCUUCGAAUUGUGGAAUGGUAGUGAUAUUAAUAAAGUUUUUAUAUUUGGUUCAACUGACUUACAUAAUAUUUUCAUGUGCUAAUCGUAUAAUCUUACAUCUGUUCUAGGUACUAUCGAGCACCUGAAUUAAUAUUUGGUGCAACCGAAUACACCUGAAUUAAUAUUGCUUGGGCAGGUACACGAUUCGUUGCAAAAUUUAUUUGCUUAUUUAUAUGCAUUUUCCCUUUAAAUUACUCAACAAAUACCAUUUUUCUGACUGCAGCCUCUGUUUGCCAGUGAGAGUGGAGUAGUCCAGGGUGUUGAAAUUAUUAAGGUACCUUUUAGUUCAAAAUUCUAAUCAAUAAUAGUUUUAUCAUGAUGAUUUCUAAAAAUUUAAUCUUUUGGGGCUCCGAUUAUGUAUAGAUUUAAUUGUUGGAUUUCCUUUCAAUUAUUUGGACUAAUUGAUAUGGUGGUAUUAUGAUGGUGCAUGCUGCUGCUGCCGCUUCUUUUUUAAUAUAUAAUCAUUCAUCUAUUACAAGUCUCUAUUUAAUUUAUUUAAGGAAAGAAUGCACAUUUAUUUAAUUCACCCAAAUACUAUAAAUAUUUUGGGAAAAAAUGUCUCAGAUAAUGGAGCAAAUUUAGACAAUAGUAUAAUGUGGAAUAUUUGAUUUGAUUUUGUAUAGAUUUUGUAUAUCUAAAUAUAAUGUUUUCAUGUGCCCUGCCAUCAGCAUUGCCGUUAAUUACAACAUCGGUUACUGCAUAGGAUUCGUAUGACCCAAAUACAAAAUCUAAUUAAAUUACAUAAUUGUAUAAAAUUGGGAGUAUCCUUUUCUAAUCUAAUUUCUUUUCACAUUUAACUUUCAUUCAUAUCGAUUAUGAUACCCUGUUUAAAUCUUCUUCCAUUUGUCAACUAUUUCAUUUCCAAAAUCCAUUUGUCAACUAUUUCAUUUCCAAAAAUAUAUUUUGGUUUGUUCUCUUUUAUUUUUUAUUUACCUAAUUAAAUAAAUUUUAUUUAAAGUUAUAUUUUAAAUAUUUUAAUUUAUUUUAAUCACGAAUUUUUUAAAAUAUAUAUUUUUUAAAGUUCAAAUUUCAUAACUUACGUAUUUUACAUAAUUUACAUAAUUCAUAAUUUACAAAAUUUAAAUAUAUAAUACUUGGUUCUACAUAACUUAUUAAUAUUUAUAUAUAGUUUUAAUACAUAUAAUUUUAAAAUUAUAUAUCCUACAUAAUAUCCUAACUUACAUAGUAUCGUACAUAAUAACUUACAAAAACUUACAUAAUAACCUACAUAAUACCUUAUAUAACAAUACAUAACCUACAUAAAUUAAAAAAGUUCUACGCAUAACACACAAAAACAAUAACUUACAUAACUUACAUAAACUUGCAUAAAUUAAAUAACUUGCAUAAAUUAAAUAACUUACAUAACUUACAUAACCUACAUAACUUACAUAAAUUAAGUAACUUUACGGAACUUACAUAACUUACAUAACCUACAUAACUUACGUAAAUUAAGUAACUUACAUAACUUACAUAACCUACAUAAGUAAAAUAACUUACAUAACUUACAUAACCUACAUAACUUACAUAACUUACAUAAACUUGCAUAAAUUAAAUAACUUACAUAACGUACAUAAAUUAAAUAACUUACAUAACUUACAUAAAUUAAGUAACUUACAUAACUUACAUAAACUUGAAUAAAUUAAAUAACUUACGUAAAUUAAGUAACUUACAUAACUUACAUAACCUACAUAAGUAAAAUAACUUACAUAACUUACAUAACCUACAUAACUUACGUAAAUUAAGUAACUUACAUAACUUACAUAACCUACAUAAGUAAAAUAACUUACAUAACUUACAUAACCUACAUAACUUACAUAACUUACAUAAACUUGCAUAAAUUAAAUAACUUACAUAACUUACAUAACGUACAUAAAUUAAAUAACUUACAUAACUUACAUAAAUUAAGUAACUUACAUAACUUACAUAAACUUGCAUAAAUUAAAUAACUUGGUCUUUUUCUGCAAUACAUAUAAAAUAGUUUUCUCAUUACAUUUUUAAUUACUCAGUUUACUUUCCAUUCAAUAGGUUUGGAGUGGGAAGAAUGUGAAUGACGAAGUUAAAUGGCUUUCCCAAGGUCCAAAUCGAGUGGUUAAAAGAUAUAGUGCGUUCCUCAUCAACGGAUUCAGAUUUCAUACAAAAUAUCGCGAGAGAUUGAGGAGAACGCAAAAUUGUGGAAUAGUUGUUAAUUCCUCAAUUACAAGUUAUGCUAGUGCUAGGGACAAUAAUCCUGUCCAGGGAAAUGUGGAAUAUUUCGGACUUCUUACUGACAUAAUUGAGUUAGAUUACUACGGCAAAUGGAAAGUUGUCUUAUUUCGAGGUGAUUGGGCCGAUGUUAAUACUGCUCGUGGAAUUAAGCAAGAUCAAUUUGGUUUUACAAUGGUCAACUUCGCUCGAUUGAUUCACACAGGACAGCAACUGAUAGAUGAGCCGUAUGUAUUCUCAUCUCAAGUCAGACAAGUUUUUUACUCAAAAGAUCCAACCGACGAGUGUUGGUACGUUGUACUUCGUAACAUCCCUAGAGACUUGUUUGACAUGGGCAGUGGAAGUAGAGAUAAUAUCGAUAAUAGAUCAGAAACUGUGCCCUUUCCGGAACAACACUUAAACGAAAAUAUCCCUACUACUAGUACGCAAUUUCAAUGGGUUCGCCAGGAUGCAGAUGAAGAUAUUUACGAAUAAUGAUGUAGUAAGAGUAUACGAUUGUUUAAUUAUAUGUAUAUCAUAAUUUAAAUCUUAGUCUUAUUAUAUAUUUCGACUAUUUGAUAUUCGCUGUUACUGUUGUAAUUAGUUACUAAGUUUUCAACUAUUUUAUAUGUAUUGCAGAAAAAAUGCCCAGAAGAAAAAUGCGAGAGGUAGGCAUUGUUCAAAGUGCUCCAAACUCGGCAGAAAUAAAUAGUGAAGAACAGACAGGAAUUGAAUCUUCGAAUGUUCCGAUUAUACCUAAGGAUCCUACAGAAGUUCAAAGUAAUUUUACAUUUAAUUUACAUACGUGUUGACUUGUAAUUGGUUUAUUUUUCAAUUUAUUUAUAUUAUAAUAUACCAUUUUUCAGCUGAAAAUGGUAGGACGCGCAGAGGCCGAGGUCGUACGCUACUUAGCGAGUUGUACGAGUUAGAUCCAGUCGAGCGUGUCAAAGUAUGCAGAAACAGUUUUGGUCAGCCUGUUGGAACAGAAGCUCGACUAUUAGCAGGAUACAUGGGCAUUUUAGCACGAAAUGCGAAUAUGUUGCCUAUCAACUACGACUCAUGGCAUCAAAUGCCCGAUAGUAACAAAAAUCAAGCCCUCGAUAAUAUUAAGGUAACAAAACGUUAAUGUCAUCUGUAAUACUUGGGAAUUAGUUUCACUUAUAUUUACUUUCUUAACUUGUGUUCUUUGUAGGCGAGGUUUGCCUUAGAGGUCUCGGAUGCCUAUGUAAAGAAGGCAUUGGGAAAAAGAUGGAGAGACCAUAAAAGUACUUUAAAGAGAGAUUAUUAUAAGGUAAAAACAACCCUCGAUGAGAAAUUGCAAAAUGUCCCGCCGGGUAUGUUGAGGUACCAAUGGGAAGAUGCGGUUAGAUUUUGGCAUUCGAAGAAAGGCGAGGUAUGAUGUACUUCUAAACUCUUGUAAUUAUUUUGGUUUAUUGUAUUUACUAUUUACGUACUAAUAAUUUCAUAACGUAGGAUCAUGAAUGGGUUGGAAAAAACAGCAGGGAGAAACAAAAAUUCACGCACACAGCCGGGUCGAAAAGUUUUGCUUGUGUAGCUGAGGCUGAGGUAUUUUUAAUUUUUUAAUACUGUCAAAUAUGUGUUACUUUCCAUUAAAUAAUAUUUUUACUACUAUAUUGUAGGAACGGUCGUCCGGUCAAAAAGUUGGACGCCUUCAACUUUUUGAGAUUACACAUAAGAAGAAAGAUGGAUCUCCUAUGACUCCUGAAGCUGCAGAAAUAAUUGUACGUUUACUUAAUACGAUUUUCUAAUAGUUUAAUUCAUUGCUUGUAAUGCUACUAUUGUUAACUUGUGUUGCAUUUGUUUUUUUAAUAUAUAUUGUGUUCCUAAAUAUGUGAUUUAUUUAUUAGGAGAAACUAAAUAAUAAAAAGGCAGAGUACGAAGCGAUUGCUUCUAGUGAUAGUUCUGUUCAUCUUGAAGACAUUGAUAACCGGAUUAUUACUGAAGUUAUGGGUCCUGAAAGGUAUGGCCGGGUUCGAUUUCAAGGAUCUUUUGUUAGCCCAACCCAAUAUUUUGGAUCCAGCUCGCAGCAAUACAUGCGUUCGGGGAGUCAGGCUCAAGCUGAAGUUCAGAGGUUAAAAGACCAGAUGGCUCAGAUGCAAGCGACCACAGUUGAGGUUCAAAAGAAAUAUGAAGAACUCCAGCUACAACUUAGAGCAGAUGCGGCAGCGAGAGAAGCAGAGGUUCAAAAGAAAUAUGAAGAACUCCAGCGACAACUUAAAGCUGAUGCGGCAUCCAGAGAAGCAGAGCAGAACAGAAAGUACGACGAACUCCAACAACAGCUUCAGAGUAUGAUGAAGAUGUUUCAACACUCCCAACCUCCGUCGUCAUAGUGUAUUGUAUAAAUAUUUUUAUCAUUUUAACAUUUUUGUGAAAAUAAUAGAAUAUUGAUAUUAAUAUUAUAUUAUUCGUUUAAUUUGAAAUAUUAUAUAAAUUUAUUGCUAUUGGCUGGUAUAGAUUUAGUUGCUUUUGAUUUGUUGCUAUAGGAGGGUUGAAAGAAAAAUUUGGUAUUUUUAAAAAACCCCAAAAUUAGUGGCGUUUUUUAAAAAAGCGCCGCUAAAGAACAUUAGCUUUAGCGGCGUUUGUGUUAGAAGCGCCGCUAAAGAACAUGUUCUUUAGCGGCGUUUGUGUAGAAAGCACCGCUGAAGAACAUGUUCUUCAGCGGCGUUUGUGUAGAAAGCGCCGCUAAAGAACAUGUUCUUUAGCGGCGCUUUUAAAAAUAAACGCCGCAAAUAUUUGUGGCGUUGUCAUUAGCGGCAAUUUUAGUGGCGCUUUAGGAAGCGCCGCAAAUACUUUUAGUGGCGCUAAAAAGCACGCUAAAGGCUUAAAAAAUGCCGCUAAAAACCAGUUUUGGUGUAGUGUGCGUAGCUACAUUGUAUAGAAGCUUAAAUAUUUCUGGUAGGUUGGGUACUUUUAUGUUGUAUUGGAUUUUGGACUCAACGCGGAAUAUAUUUACUUUAAUAAAAAGUUUUUUUCCAAUAAUUGAAAGACAUAUUGGAGUUUGAGGGACCAUAGCCUUUUCAAGGAAAUAAGGGGCCAAAACUUGACUGUGCUUGAUAUAACAAAACUAUGUUAUCCAAAUUUGGGAUGUGUAAAAUACGAGUGAAUAUUCACCAUGUGUAUAAUAAAAGGGUAAAUAAUGUAGAUAAAAAAAUAAGUCUAAAAAAUUAAUAGGUGCUUCUUCCCCGAUUGGCCCAUGAAUUGAAAAAAAAUUUCAUCCCUUUUAGUUGCGGCCCUUCCUCUAACUCUUCAUAGAUAUUGCAUUUGCACUUUACAAGAGAACUGCUACCUAUUGAUCCAUAACCAUCAGAGUGUUGAUGGACAUCUUCAAAAUUAGCAAAACAUUGAUUUUUAUGCAGCUCUUUAAUUCCAUUUCUUCCAAAUCUUUCUCAUACACUAUUCUAACACCACACUCUUCACCUUAACGUUGCAAUAACAUGUGAAAGGCAACUCAUCAUCAUCAUUAUUUUGCUUCGUAUUUAUUUUACUUCGUAGCCCUCGCUUGUAUUAUUUUGCUUACAUCAUCAUCAUUCCAUUACACCCAUUUUUAUUUAGAUUUCAAAAAAGAAAUUUUAAAAAUAUAAGUAAUACUCGGUAUUUGGGAUCUUUGAGAGAAUCGAGCCAUAACGUAUUGGGUUCCGAUUUUCUUCGUUGAAUCUAAAUAAUCGAGAUUACCUUUUUAAAAAAAAUAAAAAAGCUCAUUAUCCUGAAUUCAAUAUGUUGUGUCCUAACGCAUUGGAUAUGACACGUUGUUUUCCCGAUAUGAGGAUUUUUUCUAAAAAAUAAUAAAGGCAGUAUUUUGCAUUUAGAUUUAAGAAAGUCGUGCCCUAACUUACCGGGUUUCGAUUUUCACAAUAAAUCUAAAUACGUGAAUCUUUUCAAACUCAAGUUUUAAACGAUCUCGGGAAUUAAAAAAGAUCGUGUCCUAAAUUACUGGUCGUGAUCCUUUUUUUAAGUCCGAGAUAGCUAAAUACCUUUUAAAUAAGCAAAUUUUUAGCAUUCUUUCGCGUUUCGGGAAUUCGAGACAUUGUGUCCUAACUUACUAGAUAUGAUUCUUUCUUCUCGAUUAACGUGAAAUAUGCCCCCUUUUCCCAAAAAUUUUCAACAUUUUAAUACAAGGAUCGUACUUUUAAAAUUUUUCAAAGUUUUCAAUUUUCAACAUUAAGACAUUAACUAAUCAACUAGGUACCAAUUUUGGGCGUUACGAGGGUGCUAAUCCUUCCUCGUACGUAACCGACUCCCGAACCGUUUAUUAAAAAUAACUACUUUUCGAGGUGAUCCAAUCACACCUCAUUAAAAAAGAUUGGUGGUGACUCCCGUUUCAUUUUUCAAAACUCAAGUCGACCACGUUUUAUCAAAAAAAAUGGUGUCAACACCAUCUCUUCCAAAUCUUUCUCAUACACUAUUCUAGCACCACACUUCUUCACCUUAACGCUGCAAUAACAUGCGAAAGGCAACUCAAGUUCAUCGUGUUCCUGGUCUGAGUAAUAUGUUGUCAAUAAAUUGUUGGUUUCAGGUUCACCGUAUUUAUCCUCCAAAGUAAAUGGAUAUAAUUUGUCACGCGACCAAUAACAAAGAAAAAGGAGAUCCUUCACUAUCGGAUUGUCGUAUUGUUUGCCUAGAAAAUAGCCAUGGUCCUCAAUACGUUGAGAAUUUCCAUUUAGGAAAACGGAUUCAUCACAACCAGAUUGUACUAAAUUUCUACGAUGGAUAACAACUUUACACGAGAUAAACUCAUCUCUCGAAGCAUCAUCAUUGACAAGAAUGUAGCACAAAGCAACUCCCACACAUUGACUGUCAUUCCAAAUAUUUGGAGGUAGUGAUACCUUAAUUAAUGAAGAGGUAACUCUCAGAUGUUUUUCUUCAAGUUACAAAUACCUGCAAAAUUAAACACCUUCCAUUUGGUAACUAAAAUAAAGAAAUUUUAAGAACGAGAUUUUGUAAGAGAAAAGGAGGUAAAAUAUUUAUUCUACCUUAAGGUGUUCUUUAAGAAAUGUUAGUGCUUUGAUGUUUUUAGCCAAUUUGUAGCAGUUAGCAGCAAAAAUCCAAGUGUUAUCCACUGAAUUGCAAACUUUUGGCGGAUUUGCAACGAUUUCAGGAGAAGCACAAUCAAUUAUGCUCACACUUCCUAAACUUGUUGGAAGCUCAAGCAACGAUUUAAGCCUCUUGCAAGUUGCCAAUCCAAGAAAUUCAAGCUUGGAAAUUUGAGUAAGAGACGACAGUAUGUUGAUAAAACUGUUACCAUCAAGGUCAAGUUGUUUCAAAGAGGAUAGAAUAUCACUAGGAAUAUCUCCUUCACAAAGAUUGUAGUCCCUUAAACUUAGCCUUGCUAAUGAACUCAAACCAAAAAACAAAGGCAACAUCAAAGCCAUAGAAUUUGUCAACCAAAAAACAAAGGCAACAUCAAAGCCAUAGAAUUUGUCAUUCCUCUUUGGAUUACCUUGAAAAUGGAAGGCAGAUGUUGUCGUGACUUAGAUGAAGCUCCCUUGCUUCCAUUAAAAGACAAAACUUCAAGAUUUUUAAAUUUAAAAAAGAAAGGUGGUGUUUUUGUCAUGGUUGUUUCACUUAAGCUCCUCCAAGAAUUCUAUUUGCUACAAAUUCUCUGCCAAAUUUUCAACUUUAUAACCACCAGAAAGAUUAAGAGUUUUUAAACUUAACAAGGUUCCUGCAAUCUUUCAAAUUUAACAAAACAAGACUGCUCAGAUUUUCAAUUGAUGAUUAAAAUAUUAUUUUUUAAACAAUUUGCAUGUCAAUUCAUGAGCAUAUCCUGCUAACAUAACAUGAUUUGUCUUAUAUGUCACACCAAUAAAUAAGUCAAAAAUUAUAAAAACAAGAACUUAAAAUUAAAAAAAAUAUAAAAAUUUCAUAAGAAUUAAAAUUUUUUAGCAUGGAGUAUAUGUGAAUUACAUGCAUGUUAUCAUGUUGAAAAUUUUAAUAUUUUAGUUAGUUAAUGUCCACGAAACAAACUAAAAAUAUGAUAAAGGUAAGUACACCUAUCAAUUAAUAGUAUAGUUACAGUAAGUAAAAAUUGCGUUUUGUAGCAUUUUCGAGGUGCAAUUUGUAAAAUUGACACGAUCUGGCAUAUACCCAUGUGGCUCCUAAAAUCUACUCCAAUUGUUUGAUUUUCGCUCGUUUUGCUCACAAAUGCUCUCCUAAAUAUAAAAACAAGAAUUUAAAUGAUUAGAGCAUAAAAUUCACCAUUUUGCAUCAAUUAAUCAUCCAAAAACGCAUUAAAAACGAGAUUAAAACAUGUUACUUUUGGCAUUUAUCAUGAGUAUUCUUGUUAAAAAAAAUAUCAUGUCGACUUUUUUUUAAAAAAAAUGUUGAUGGUCAAAUUUGAUUUUUAAAAAAAAAAUUUGAGAAUCAAAUUUAGCUCAAACAAAGAAUAAAAGGCAAAGUGAUAAAAAAUAUAAAUGCUAAGCACUAAAUUAAUAUUUUGCCUAUAUUAUUCUUAUUUAAUAUUUGCUAUAUAGAUAUACGAUUAGUCUUUGAAAUAUAUAAAAGCAAAUUUAAAAGAUUAAACUAGACACAUAUCACAAUUAACACAUAACUUGGUCUCUAAUUAACAAUUUUGAACAAAAAUGAAUGAAAGGACAAUUUUACUUGACGAAAUUAGUCUAAUAACAAAAUAAAAGGAUGAUUAUAACCUCUAAACAUGGUCAAACGAUUCACACCUUUUUUAAUAGUUGCUUCUUCAUGGAACAAUCAAAACUUCCUUCACAUUUCUUCAAUCUGAGAUCAUAAAAUUUAAUUAUAUAAAAAUAAUAAUAUUUUGAACAUUUUUUAAAAUUAGUGCUUCUUCCCAAGUCUGCCCAUUAUAGAACUGAAAAUUUUUUGCAUUCGCUUUGGUUACGGCCCUUCAUCCAUCUCCUCAUACAUAUUAAGUUUUCGCUUUAGGGAACAGUUGCCUAUUGAUCCAUUAUCAGCAGAGUGUUACUGGAUAUCUUCAAAAUUUGAACAACACUGACUACUAUGCAGCUCUUUUAUUUGUUCCAUCUCUUCCAAAUCUCUCUCAUACACUAUUCUAACACCACACUUCUUCACCUUAACACUGAGUCCUAAGACGCUUUCGUAAAACAACUCAAGUUGAUGGCAUUCCUGAUCUAAGCAAUCUGUUGUCCAUAGAUUAUUGUUUUCAAAGUUCACCACAUUUGUCGUCCAAGGAAAUUGGAUACAACUUGUCACGCGAGAAAUAACGAAUUAAAAUGUGCUCCUUCGUUACGGGCCGUUCUGAACCAUAAUUUACAAUCCAACCACUCCAAUCGACUUCUCGAGAAUCUCUACCAUGGAUAAAACCUCUAUACAUGAGAUCCUCUUCCCUUGAAGCAUCAUCAUUGACAAAAAUGCAGCACAAAGCAACUCCCAUCCAUUGACUAUCAUUCCGAACUUCCAGAGGCAAAUCUAUCUUAAUCGGAGAGUCACCUCUUUGUUGACUAAACCAUUCUGGGAUUGGACUUACCAGGUAGAAUAAUAUCAAACAUUUCUCUUGAAUUUCCAAAUACCUGCAAAAUACUAGAAAAAGGAAGGCUCAUGUUUCAUCGAAAAUUUUGUUGAUGAAAAAUAUUAUAAACAUUAUGAAAAAUAAAUAUUAUACCAAGAAUAGAAAAAAUGAAGGCUCAUGUUUCAUCAAAAAUUGGGAGUAAACGUGAUAACAAUAUAGUCUAAGAAAUAAAAUAAAAUAAAAAUAAUUCAGCAUAUUCUUUAUUAAAUGAUAAAUAGAUUUCUAUUUACUUAUUAUUUUUUACAUAUUUUAUAAAAAAAUUCUAAAAACCAAUUUUUAUUAAACGAUUAUCAAACAUAUUUAAAAAAAAAUAAAAUUAUUGAAACAUUAAUUCUUUUAGUUGAUUUAUUCAACCAAUUAACCAAUAGUGCAUGCCUAAAUAAAUAUUUUGAGUAGAUAAAGUUUGAUAAAUAUUGAAUUGCACUUUAUAUUCAUAUUUGAAUUAUACUCUUUUUUUUGUAAUUUAAUAUUGAUAUUUAUAAUUAAACAAUAUCUUGUAAUAAAAUGGCUUAAUAUAUAAUUCGGUACCCAAGUUUGACACUUUUUAUAAUAUGGUUCAAAUUGUUAUAUAUCUUCGUACUCAAAAGUAAAGAUAUUAACUUUUUAGUAUUUUAUUUCGGUUAUAGGAUUAAUUUGAUGAAAGUUAAUUGCUAUUAAUAUUAUUAUGUUUGAAUUUUUCAUAAUUUUUUAAUAAAAUAAAUUUAGUGUUAAUUAUGGAUUUAGUAACUUUUCAUUUGGAAGAAUAGUGUUCUAACAAGGGGAUUUAGCUUAAAAUAAAAUUUAUAUGAUAACCUGAUGAUGGUGCCCUCUCUAUCGCACAUUCAACAUGUUGCUACUAAUGCUUUUCUUCUGUGAUACGCUGGAUGCUGUAUUGUAUAGUACUACUAGAGUAGAGAUAGGCUACAUGCUCAUGUAAUUGGGCUGAUUGAGGAAUUCAUUGGAUUGAAUUCUUACUUUCUUAAGACACUAAAAUGGAUGAUUAAUCACUUUACAUCCAUGCAUCAAGAAUAUAUAUAUUUACUUAUUUCUUGUUCAAAGGUUUACCUUCAUAUUUUAGACCUUGCAAUAUACUUAUGUUUGAAUUUACAAAUUGAUGAUGAAAGAGAUUCGGAAAUCUUCCUUGUUGUCAUUUCCCCUCAUUAGGUGGCAAUGUCCAUGGCUAAUGAAGUUGGCCAGCAUGCUGCAACACCAGCCAACAUGCAGACCAUGAAGAUUGAGCAAGGCAGAAGCUGCUUCAUGAAGUUAAAAUGAUCUAGUUCUUGUUCAUUUUGUAAUUUUUUAUUUAGUGAAAUGUAAUUUAGUUCAUUUAGAACUAUGUUAGGUAAAUGAUUGAUGUAAUUUGCAAUCAUAUGAGCUGUUAAUGCAGCUUUGCUUGUAUGCACAAGUUAAUCACUUAGAGUUUCAAUGCUUAGUGGUGUUAGGUAACUAUUAGGUAAACAUUUUGCUGUUUUGACAAGCUAAUUGCUUGCUUUAUGUAUUGGCAUUGAGCCAUUGUUUUGUAUGAUGAAUGAAUCAGAAUUGAUCAUAAAUUUUCUCUCCAUUUUUCUUAGUUUUUCUUUCUUCUUCUUGCUCGAAUCCGAUUGCCUGCACAGCAAGCUUCGAGGCUUGUGAAACAAGACACUAUCCGAGUCUGUUAUUUCUGUUAUAGCACCAACAAUUGGUAUCAGAGCCUAUUUAUUAAGGGAUCUGUUAUACAAAUCCAUGGCUUCAUCAAGCUUUUCACCAGCUGCACCUCAAGUCUUCAAUGGAGAAGGCUACCACAUAUGGGUGGUCAAAAUGAAGACCUACGUGCAGACUUUCGAUCUGUGGGAGGUGGUCAACUCAGAUGUUGAACCAGAGCCACUUAGAGCCAAUCCAACAGUGGCUCAAAUUAGGCAGCAUGCUGAUGAGAGGACCAGAAGGCACAAGGCCAUGUCUUGUAUCCAGAACUCAGUGUCUGAUGUGAUUUCCACAAGGAUUAUGGCCUGUAAAACACCAAAGCAGGCCUGGGAUAAGUUGAAAGAAGAGUUUCAAGGGACAGAAAGGACAAAGCAGCAACAGUUGUUGAAUUUAAGGAGAGACUUCGAGAAUUUGAAGAUGAAGGAAGAAGAAACUGUCAAGCAAUACUCUGACAGGAUUAUGGCUGUGGUUAACAGCAUUAGGCUCCUUGGAGAGCAGUUCAAUGAAGCGAGGAUAGUGGAGAAGGUAAUUGCAACUUUGCCUGAGAGGUAUGAGGCAAAAAUCUCAUCUUUCGAGGACUUAAGGGACUUGACCAGCAUUCCUUUGAUAGAGCUCAUAAAUGCUCUCUAUGCACAAGAGCAGAGAAGAGCUAGUAGACUGAAGGAACACCAUGAAGGUGUUUUUCAGGCAAAGACCAAUACUGCCUACAAAGGCAAGAAGACCUGGAAAAAUAGGCUUAAGCCUGAUGCUGUAAGGAGCAAUGAUCAACCUUGCAGGCAUUGCAAGAGGCCUGGACAUCCAAAAGAAAAAUGCUGGUUCAAUCCAGAUGCUGUGUGUCAACACUGCAAGAAGAAAGGUCAUGUUGAGAGAGUCUGCAAAAGUAAAGGCAAGCCAAGGCAGAGUCAGUUUCAACAAAUGAAAGCUGAGGCUCGAGUAGCCAAGGAGGACAGUGACCAAGAGGAGCAAGUCUUUGCUAUGUCAUGCUCAGCUGCACAGGAAAGGCCCUUAUCUGGUUGGCUCCUAGACAGUGGAUGCACCAACCACAUAACACCUAAUGCUGCUAUCUUCAAGUCCUUAGACAGAAGCUGCAGAACCAAAGUCAAGAUAGGCAAUGGCCACUUUAUAAAAGUUGAAGGCAAGGGUGAUGUGCUGAUAUGCACUCCCACAGGUGCCAAAGUGAUUUCAAAUGUGCUAUUGGUGCUUGAAAUUGACAGGAACCUGCUCAGCAUAGCUCAACUACUGGAGAAAGGUUAUUCUGUUAUGUUCAAAGAUAACCAGUGCCAAAUCAGUGAUCCAAGUGGAUCCAAGCUGAUGGCAGUCCCUAUGGCUGAUAAGAGCUUUGUAGUUGACUGGACAAAGGAGUCAGACACUGCCUACACAGCCACAUCAGAUGAAUCCAAGCUUUGGCAUCAAAGGCUUGGACAUGCCAACUUUAGAUCGAUGGCUCGAAUGGUCAGAGAGGGCUUGGCUGAGAACUUCAUCAACUUAGUAGGGCAUGAUGAUGUAUGUGAAGUAUGUCAGCUAGGAAAGCAGGCCUGAUUUCUAUUUCCCUCGAGUCAAGCCUGGAGAGCCUCUGAAAGACUGCAAUUGGUGCACACUGAUGUGUGUGGCCCCAUGAAGACUGAGUCAUUAAGUGGAAACAGGUAUUUCAUACUGUUUAUUGAUGAUUUCUCGAGAUAUUGUUGGCUUUACUUCUUAAAACAGAAAUCAGAGGUGGCCUCUGUGUUUUGGAAGUUCAAGACUGCUGCUGAGACUGAAACAGGUUGCAAGCUGAAGACCAUAAGGUCUGAUAAUGGGACUGAGUACACCUCAACUCAGUUCCAAGCCUUCUGUGAUUUGGCAGGCAUCAAACAUCAACUUACCAACACUUAUACACCUCAGCAAAAUGGUGUAAGUGAAAGAAAGAACAGGAGCUUGAUGGAUAUGGCCAGGUGCUUGAUGAUUCAGAAGAAUCUACCUAAAACUCUAUGGGCAGAAGCAGUUAACACUGCAACCUACAUUCAAAACAGGUUUCCAACCAAGGCUUUGGACAAGAAGACUCCAUUCGAGGCUUGGUUUGGAUUCAAGCCAUCACUGGCUCAUCUGAGGGUCUUUGGAUGCAUCUGUUAUGCACAUGUACCUACUGUUAAAAGGGACAAGUUGUCUGAAAGGGCUCGACCUGGUGUUCUAGUGGUCUACAGCACUGUCAAGAAGGGCAAUAGGAUCUUGGAUCCUUCAACAAACAAAGUGACAGUCAGUAGGGAUGUGGUAUUUGAUGAAAGGUCAUGUUGGAACUAGGAAAGACAUGAACCUGAGGAAGUUUCAGAAGAACUUGUAGCAGAUCAAGCUGAGCCAGACCAAAAUGGUCUUGAAAUGGACAUAGAUGAUGAACCAGUCAGGGGAACAAGACCACUGGCUGAGAUUUAUGAAAGGGCUCAUGUAGCCAUAGCUGAACCAAGCAACUUUGAAGAGGCUGAAGCUCAGCAAGGGUGGAAGCAGGCAAUGGUUGAGGAGAUCAGCAUGAUCAAGAAGAACCAGACCUGGGAAUUGGUUGAAAGGCCAGUCAAAAGGAAAGUCAUUGGAGUGAAAUGGGUGCAUAAAGCCAAGAAAAAUGCUGAUGGAAGCUUGAACAAGUUGAAAGCAAGGUUAGUUGUCAAGGGAUUCAGUCAGAAAUAUGGCCUGGACUACUUGGAGACCUUUGCACCAGUGGCCAGGCUUGACACCAUAAGGCUACUGAUUACCUUAGCUGCACAAAUGCAGUGGAAAAUUCACCAACUUGAUGUAAAAUCAGCCUUUCUCAAUGGAUUUCUUUAGGAAGACAUCUAUGUUGAACAACCACAGGGGUUUGAGAUAGCUGGUAAGGAGCACAUGGUGUACAAGUUGAAGAAAGCCCUAUAUGGCUUAAAACAGGCUCCUAGAGCCUGGUACAGCAGAAUCGAUGGCUACCUUGUUGAUUUGGGAUUCGACAGGAGCAAGAGUGAGCCAACACUCUAUAUUAAGAAGGAAGGGACACAAACACAGCUCAUUGUGUCUCUAUAUGUUGAUGACCUGUUGGUGACAGGAGGAGAUCAAGCAAUGUUGGCUGAUUUCAAGACCAAGAUGCAUCAGAUGUUUGAAAUGUCUGAUCUGGGGGAGAUGUCCUAUUUUCUUGGCAUGGAGGUGCCACAAAUGCAGAAUGGGAUAUUUCUAAGCCAGAAGAGCUUUGCCUCGAAGAUUUUAACCAAGUUCUCUAUGGAAAAUAGUAAAGCAACAAAGACUCCUGUUGCUGUUGGAGAAAAACUAUCGAGCCAAGGUGAUUUUGAGAAGGUUUGUGAAACAACCUACAGAAGUCUAGUUGGUUGCUUGUUGUAUUUAACUGCCACUAGACCAGACAUAAUGUAUGUUGUAGGAUUGCUCUCAAGGUUCUUGCAUUGUUGCAAUGAGAAGCAUUUUCGAGUAGCAAAGAGAGUGCUCAGAUAUAUCAAAGGUACAUUGAGCUAUGGCUUGAUGUAUAAGAAGGAAGAAAGCCUGAGGAUGUUUGGUUAUACUAACAGUGAUUGGGCUGGCUCAUUGGAUGACAUGAAAAGCACCUCAGGGUAUGCUUUUAGUCUUGGUUCAGCCAUGUUCUGUUGGAGCUCGAAGAAGCAAACCUUGGUGGCUCAAUCAAUUGCUGAAGCAGAAUAUGUUGCAGCAGCAAGUGCUGUUAACCAAGCCAUUUGGCUAAGAAAAAUCAUGAAAGAUUUGAAUGUGAGUCAAAAGGAAGCAACAGAGAUUUAUUGUGACAACCAAUCUGCUGUUGCUAUUGCCAAAAAUCUAGUGUUCCAUGGGAGAACAAAGCAUUUCAGCAUCAAACUCCAUGUUGUUCGAGAAAUGGAGGAAGCAUUAGAAGUCAGGCUGAUUCAUUGCAGGACAGUUGAUCAAAUUGCUGAUAUUUUGACUAAGGCUCUUAGUGCAACUAAGUUUGAAUAUUUAAGGAAGAAGUUAGGAGUUAGCAGCAUGAUAACUAAGGAGGAGUGAUGAAGUUGGCCAGCAUGCUGCAACACCAACCAACAUGCAGACCAUGAAGAUUGAGCAAGGUAGAAGCUGCUUCAUGAAGUUAAAAUGAUCUAGUUCUUGUUCAUUUUGUAAUUUUUUAUUUAGUGAAAUGUAAUUUAGUUCAUUUAGAACUAUGUUAGGUAAAUGAUUGAUGUAAUUUGCAGUCAUAUGAGCUGUUAAUGCAGCUUUGCUUGUAUGCACAAGUUAAUCACUUAGAGUUUCAAUGCUUAGUGGUGUUAGGUAACCAUUAGGUAAACAUUUUGCUGUUUUGACAAGCUAAUUGCUUGCUUUAUGUAUUGGCAUUGUGCCAUUGUUUUGUAUGAUGAAUGAAUCAGAAUUGAUCAUAAAUUUUCUCUCCAUUUUUCUUAGUUUUUCUUUCUUCUUCUUGCUCAAAUCCGAUUGACUGCACAGUAAGCUUCGAGGCUUGUGAAACAAGACACUAUCCGAGUCUGUUAUUUCUGUUAUAGCACCAACAAUGGCAAUGGCCGAAAACUUGCUUUUUAAUAUUAACUCAUUUUUAUUCUUCUCUACACUACAUACAGCAAAAGAAGCAAAUUGCCAUUAGUAACAGGGUUAUUCUUCUCUUACAUCUUUUAAUGCAUGUUCUUGUCUUUCAUGAUGUCAAUGUAGAGGUGUCCACGAAUCCCACAGUCGAAUCCAUACAGGUUAAGCUUAUUGAGUGAUAUGGAUAAUCUAUUUUUUUUGGAUAAUACAAGCAUUACACUGCUUUAAAAUAUUUGGGAAAUAAAGUGAAGCUUCUUUUCAGUUUUGGUUGUAUUUUGGGAUGUAUACAUGAUGAUUAUUAUAGAUUGGUAUCUCAGUUAGACGUUUCUUUUGCUUGUGCAGCAAAGAAUCUCAUUCUCGCUAGUGUCAAAUCAAUUACCAAAGCUAUAAGCGUAGUCGCGAAAGUUAACCACUUUCUGCAGCAGGAAGCAUAGACAAUGGAACUAUUUAAAUCCUUAUUUUGAAUCUAAGUUCAUAAGCACAACCUGAGUAAACUAAAUUUACGUAAGAAGACUAGUGAAAAACGAGCUUUAGUCCCUCCGUAAUUAAAUUGAUUGACGUGAUGGAUGGAUGAAGUGAAGAUCACACUAAAAUUAUUAACGACAUUAUUAAUUGAGGAGUAAAAGAAUCAUAUUAGUAAAAGGCGUCGUGUCCAUUUUAAAGCAACAUAAGUAUGCAUGCACUGCAUGGUUUAUGUACGUACUAGAUAAACCCAAACAUUCUUCCUUCGAGUUCAUAUAAUUUAUUAGCAAACGACUGAAAACAACAAAUAACUGUGUAUUAUUGGUGGUUAAUAUCCCCACCAAAGCAUAUUAUCAUCAGAUAACGACUGAAUCAAAGAGAAUAAUAAUACUGGAAUGCAAACGAAAUCGCCAUGGAUCAUCAUUUGGAGGCAUGAGAGAGGUAGAUGAAAACGAAGACCAAGACGAAAGCGAAGACGAGGAAAAUGUAAGCGGGAGGAGGCUGCAAUGGUGGCAUUCCAAGCGGACCCAAAAACAGCAGAGCAACCACCAACAGCAUCAUGGCUAUCGAACUGAUACCGCACCUGUAAUCUUCCAUCUUCACUGAUAUGCCUUACCUCUUGCUAAUGUAACCAGAAAUGUUAACUUCCUCGAAUAUAUAGAGUAGCGGCGCUGUACGGAUUGAUGCACCUUUAGCAAAGAGUUGCGACGAUUGGUUCAGCGACAUAUCUAUGCAGCAACCGACGUGAUUUUUACUCACUACAACAUAUAUUAGUUUUAAGGGCACUUUAUUUAUUAAAAUUUCAAAAAGUGCUGGGCUUUAGUAGGUUACUCUUUCAUUUUGCCCACAUUGGCAAUGGCUGAAAACUCUGUUUAUUUAUUAACUUCAUUUUUUUCCUUCUCUACAUUACACAUGGCAAAGGAAGCAAAUUGCCAAUAGUAAUCAAUUUUAAUAGGGGGAUCCUUUGGUGGGGGGAGGGGGGGAGGGUUGUUCUUUUUCAUGAUGUAACGUUGGUUUUUUUCUCUUACAUCUUUUAUUGCAUGUUGUUGUCUUUCAUAAUGUCAAUGUAGAGGUGUCCACGAAUCCCACAGUUGAAUCCAUACAGGUUAAGCUUAUCGAAUUAUAUGGAUAAUUUAUUUUUUGGAUAAUUUAUGUCAAACCCAACAAAACAAUCUCAUUCUCGCUGGUGUCAAAUCAAUGACUUUGCAUGAUGAAGGGGUGGUGAAAUUGUGGGAGUUAUCCAGCAAUUUUGUGUUCUCCGAGAGUGAUGUUGGUAAAAACAGGGCCCUUGCCUCUGUUUAGAAGUUGCAGGAGCUUAACAAUACUGUGAUCAUUUCCACCUUAACAACAAAAUUAACCAAGGAACAACUUUCCGAUUUCCAGGUACUUCUUAGUCUUUGGAUCUCUACUGUCUGUAAUUGCUUACCUUGUUCCUCUUUAAUGGUUAAUUGAAUUCAGAAGUUCCAUAUUUUUUGUAAUAAUCCUGAAGAAAUCAUGCUGAAAUUCGAUUAUCAUCACCUCAAAUUCCACUAUUUAUAUCUGAUACAGUUAAGAAGAAAACUAAGGUCAACUUUUUUUAAGCUGGCGAAAGAUGUGAUAUGUAUGAUGGAAAUUUCCUGAAAGUGAUUUACCUGGAAAAUAGUCUGCAAUUUGAGCUAAAAUCUUGCUCUAUAUUGCACGAGUAUUUCUAGGAUCUGUACAUUCUAUUCUAUUCCAUAGCAUAACCUUGUCUUCAUCUUUCGUUGUGCCGGCUGUUGUAUUUACUGAUAUCAGUUUUGAGAAAAGCCAUUGAGUUUUGUUGGAAUAAUGAGCAAAGAUGAGGGAAACAAAACAGUUUCUUGAGCUUUAAGGCUCGAGACUUGCAGUGCAAACAAUAACAGAAUCAGGCACUUAAGAACCAAAUGAAACUAAGAUUGACAGAGUAUUGGAUGAACAAUUCUUGGAUGAUUUUUUUAUUAAUUAAUUUGAACAAUGGCAUAAUGCCUAAACCUAAAACCAAGCACUCAGCUGGUCAAGGAAACAAACUUCACCUAAUCAUCAACCUAAACUCCACUAAGUAUCCUUGAAACUUACAAAACAUGACUUCCACACAUAGGUAAGCUGAUUUAUCAGUUUAUAGCACCUAAUCAUCAAGUACAACUUGGUUUGAUUUUAACUAAGUUACACAAGACCAAUUUGAAAGUAACUAAAAACAAAGAACAGCAGCUUGAACUUCAGCUGGAACUGCAUGGCUCGAGCAGUUUCUGUUGCUCCAUGUCAGCAUGCUGGCCAGCUUCAACAAGUUUAAUGAUUAUAUCUCUUUCAUCAAGGCCAUGCAACUAUCAUGCAAACGAGGUUUCCACACGUGCCAAGCAUGGAUAUCAAUUCAGUAUCCAACCAAGGGGGAGCAAACAGGUAAAACAUAAUAGCAUCAAUUUAUUUUAAGAUAUGCAUAUGUUGAUUCUAAUCUCAUUGUGUAGCUUCAAAAGCUAAGCAAUACCUUUGAUAAAAAAAAUGGAUACAGUGUUCUUGUUUGAAAGGUGUUCUUGUUACUUGCUUAUAUCUUUUCCAUUUUACUUGUGUACAGUGUAGUAAAUGUUUACUUGUAUAGACCUGAGAAUGGCUUUGUUGGAUCCUAGGAUCACCUAAAGCACAAAGAUUGAGUUUUCAUUUUCUAAUUUGUAAUUUGUUUGCUUGAUGUUGAUUUUUUUAUGCAAGUUUCAAAUGUAUCAAGUUCACAUGAGUCACAGCAAAUAAGUAAGGAUGAAAGCUUUUUCGCAUAGUUUGGAUGUAUUUCAGAAUGCUUAAAACUCAAACUCUGUUUAAUAAAAACCUUUAUUUUGUUGUAAUCUUAGUUUCGACUUUGUGAGUUCUAUUGUCACGGACUUUGAUUUUUUGUCUUGCAAUCCGUGCGGCCUUAGGUAGUUUUUUCGCUCCAAAAACGCUAAGUCAACCUAAUUCCUAACAAUUGAAGACUCACACAGAAUUCCUCCAAUGUACCAAUAUAUAUAGCGAAAACAACACAAAGCUAAAAAAAUGUUCAAAAGAACAGAAUAAUCACAAAAAAACUAUGCACGAGAGGUGUUUAAGUAUAUGCUCUCAAUUGUAUUCAUUUUCAACCGAUUAUCAAAUAGGGCCUAAAUAAAUAUUUUGAGUAGAUAAAGUUCGAUAAAUAUUGAAUUGCACUUUAUAUUCGUCUUUGAAUUACACUUUUUUUUUGUAAUUUUAAUAUAUUGAUAUUUAUAAUUAAACAAUAUCUUGUAAUAAAAUGGCUUAAUAUAUAAUUCGGUAUCCAAGUUUGACGCUUUUUCUAAUAUGGUAUCUGUUUUAUUUGUUGUGGUCCAAAUUGUUACUUGUAUUUGACAAAAGUUAUAUAUCUUGGUAGCCAAAAGUAAGGAUAUUAACUUUUUAGUUGGGUUAUAGGAUUGAUUUGAUGAAAGUUAAUUGCUAAUAUUAUUAGGUUUGAAUUUUUCAUAAUUUUGUUAAUAGAAUAAAUCUAGUGUUAAUUAUGGAUUUGUUUAUUUUUGUAUUUAAUUUGUCAAGUACAUUCAAAUGGAUGUGAUUUAAUUCAAGUUUUAGAGUUAGUUUGAUAAAAAUAUAUAACUAACUAAAUUAUAUAUUUUCAUCAAAUCAACUCUAAAACUCGAUUUAAACACUAAAAAGUUACCUUCAUUAUCACCAAAAAAAAUUAACUUCAUUAAUUUUGGGUACCAAAAUAUAUAAUUUUUGUCGAAUACCGAUACCGGAUUGGACCAAAAAAUAACUUAGGUACCACAUUAGAAAAAAAUUAUCAAACUCAUAUACCAAAUUAUGUGUUAAGUCUAAUAAAAUAUUUUAAUUAUUUUACAUUACAUAAAAUAAAGAAUCAUAUGUCUUUAAAUAAAAAUUAAUUACAGUAAUUAAUAAAAUAAAUAUAAUUAAUGAAAUAAAAAUAAUUAGAUGUACAUUACAUAACUAGUUAAGCAUGUAAAACACAAUUAGUUAAUACUUAAUAAUUUAUAAAGUAAAUAUUAUAAUGUAUAAAAAAAAGUAUGUAAGACACAAACUGUCCAACACUUCAAUUAUUACUUAAAAUUAUUUUAGGCUCCGUUUUCUCAACUCUUUCUUGGAUUCUUCAUGGAGAGAACAUCUAUCAUCCCCCAAUUUCCACACCUACCCGCUUUCAUUUGGAAAGAAAGGAAAUGGUUGGAAAUGUAUAGAGAAAUUGCUUAGAAAACUCUUCGUUGUUCCCUAGAAAUUUGAUCUGUUUUUCUCCUUCAUGCUCAAUUCUAUACCAUACUCAAAAUAUAUUAAAGAGAUUUGACAAGAUUGUAGAUUAGGUGAUAAUUAUAUCAUUAAAUGAGACAAGUUUAGUCUUGAUCAAUGUCUCAAGAUUAAUUUUAAGAUCAAGGAAAUGGAAAAAUAUUACUAUGCUUCAUCAAUGGGGGAUCGAAUGUAUGUUCAUGUUUAUAUGUGUAAAAAUAUUACAUAUAUUGUUAAGAUGUUGGAUAGAUAUUUAAAAAUUUUGAGUAUGGAUCAUGGGAAUAUAUUAUCUUGAAAAACUAAAAUAUUACAAGCUCGCAUAUAAGAUGUUUAAUAAAUUAAAAAUCUGUCUAUAGAUACAAAAUUUUGUCACUAGGCUGCAACAUGUGACAAUAGAUUAUUGUCCUUUAUUCUAAUAUCAAUAGGAGCACAUUAUACAUUAUCAAUGCGGCGUACCCAGGUGAGUUUUCAUUACACAAUUACUUUCCUGCUUUGGGAGUUGAGGAACUUGUGGCUUUAGAUGAAAGAGUUUUGAAGAAAGAGGUAAGGAAAGCUUUGUUUAAUAUGGCGCCAUUGAAGACUCUGAUGUUGAUGAUUUCCAUGCUCGCUUUUGUCAAUCUCAAUGGAAUUUUGUUUAAGGAUCAAAUUUGUUGCUUGAUUCCAAAUUGCUUUGAAGGUGACCCGAUUCCUUUAGAUUUGGAUCAAACUCUUAUUGCAUUGGUGCCCAAGGUGGUAGGAUCGAAAUUGCUAUCUCAUUAUAAAUCGAUCAAUCUCCAUAUGGUCUUGUUUAAGGUGAUCACCAAGACAAUUGCAACAAAAUUGAGAAGCUGGUUCAAGGAUUCACUUGGGGGUCAACAUUUGGUAACCAAAAACCAACUUUAGUGAGUUCUGAUAAAUGUUGAAUGCCUUUGAAGAAUGGUGGACUUGGGUUGAGGGAAGUACGGGACCACAAUAAAGCCUUCAUGCUUAAAGUAACUUUUAAUGUCAUUUCUAACAUGGAUGUGCUACGGGUUAAAAGUCCUUCGAAACAAGUAUGGGGUAAUAAGUAAAUGGUCUUCUUCUAUACAUCCUUCUAAUUGCUUGUUUCUCUGGAGGGCUUUGUUCAAUAUCUGGGAAGAUGUAUGAUAUAUGCACGGAUGGAGUGAAAUUCACCGAAGUUGCCAAAUUUUAAGCUUGGGAAAUCAGCAAACUUGCGACGACUUUUUGGAUAGGAUCUUAGUAUUUUUUUAGUUGAGAUGUCCAUGGCGUUUGAAGAUCUAUCUCUUAGCUUCGAAACGCAUUUUGAAUCACUCAACUUUGAGCUCGGGAGCUCAAUUUAUGAUUGUUUUAGUGAAGACUGCACAAUCAAAAUUUCUAAACGGGAUUGUGACGAGAAUUACGAGCUUCGGGCUUUUAACUCGAGUUUAAAUCAUAUUGGGUUUGGGUUUUUGGCUUAAUGUUUAUUAUAUAUUAGCCAAAUAUUGUAUUUAUCAGCUCUUAUUAUUUUAUUAUUAUUUUAUUCUAAUUUUUUUUAUAAUUAUUACGUAUUUUAAGUUAUUUAGAAGUUUUAUGUUAAUAAGAAAGUUUAGUUUAAAACUAUUUCAUAUUUAGAUUAAAUUAGAGUUCUAGCAUACUUAAGAGUUUUAUUUAGAUUUAUUUAGCUAACCUAUAUAUAGGCCUUUGCAUUGUACACAAUUUAGACAAUUCAAUUGAUUAUUAUUCAACUUCUCUUUUUAGUUUAAUAAAUUCUUUUUGAGUUUUCUUUUCAAAAAUUUCUCUUAAGUUUGUUUUAGAAGAGGUUUAACAAUCUUUUUAGAUUGUGCGGAUCAUCUUCAAACUUUUUCUUACAAAGUUUUCUUUUUUGGAGGGAAAAUUAGAGUCGCUUGAAAGGGAUUGUAAAUUCUUCGUGUUUUGAAGGAUUCUUAGAACUUCUACAUACCACGUUCUAUCUUUCUAUCUAUCUUUUUUAAUUUCUUCCUUAUUGUUCUAAUUGUAGAUUUAUUAUUCUAUUUUAAUUAUCUUAGUUAUUUAUUUUAAUUAUUUUAUCGAACUUGGAGUACAUGUGAAUCACAUGCAAGUUGUUGUGUUUAAAAAUUUAAUGUUUUAGUUAGUAUUAUCAUUAAAAGAAAUCAUUUCACCUCUACUAAAAAGUUGAUGGUCAAAUUUGACCUUUUUAAAAAAAAAAAUUUGAGAGUCAAAUUUAAGAGGCAAAGUGAUAAAAAAUGUAAACAUUAAGGACUAAAUUGAUAUUAUGUCUAUAUUAUUUUUAUUUAAUAGUUUAAAUAUAUAAAAACAAUUGUUUUGAAGAGAAAUUCAUUAAUUCAUUUAAUGAAUAAUACCAUACAAUUCGGGGGAAAAAAUAACAAACAUCCGUUAUACGCACUAAAGGACAAGUUUCACCAACACAACAAAAGCUUCAAUUUCAGCAUCAAAAGAAUAUUAUGACACAUUGACAAUCGGCUCUAUCACAACUCAAACACAAUAAAUCAAGAUUGAUUCAAGCACUUAAUACGGGAAAUCAACCCUGGAUAGUCCAAUGCGGCGAACAUAAAUCGGCAAAAGGACCAAGCAUCCACCAGACUAGAGAGGAAACGACGACAAAACCAACCAAAAAAUUACUCGCAAAAGCAAGAAUACAUGCAUAAGAAAGAUUAAAAAGCGUAUUACAAGAGUAGAUAAAAACUUCUAAAAUUGAAAGACUUAUUAAACAAUAGAAAAAUAAAUAAAAAAUAUAUAAAACUUAAGAUAACACGAGUCCAAGUUGACUCAUGAAAUCAUUUAUUAUUCUAAAACUCUCAAAAUAGAAACAGAUUAAGAAGUCAAUGAAGAGCUACCCGCUUUCUAAAAGAAAUUAUCGGUGGUCAGUGGUGUUUCAAUAAUGAUAGGCACCGUCAUCUGUCCAUCACAUCUUGUGAAGACAACAAAGAUACCUACAAAAUAAAUCUGUAAACUUAAAAGAGAUAACGUAUGGAGUGAAUGAGAAAGAUAAAAGAGUUGAUGGGUAAGAGAAAAAGGCGGGCUAUAGUUAGCCCGGAGGCUAACACCACUGCUAGGCAAAAACAAAAAGAAGCGAAUGAUUUGGAGAAAAAAUAGGGGUUUUUAGAAGUAAAAAGAUAUAAUUUUUUACUCAAAUAUAUAAAAAUAAUUUUAAAAGAUUAAACUAGACACAUAUCACAUUUAACACAUAACUUGGAGUCUAACAAUUUCGAACAAAAAUGAAACAACAAUUUAGGAUGAUUAUAACCUAAACAUUGACAAAGGAUUCGCACCUUACGUAUUAGUUGCUUCUUCAUGGAGCAAUCAAAACUUCCUCCACAUUUUAUUUCCAGGCGAUUAUAUAUAUUUUUCAAUCUGCGAUCAUAAAAUCUAAUUAUAUAAAAAUGAAUAAUAUAUUGAAUGUUAUAAAAAAAAAAUGUUAUCCAAAUUUGGGAUAGGCUUAACAUACGAGUUUGUUUUUAACAUGUGUAUGCUUAGAAUUUUUAACUUAAAUAUAUAUAUUUGAAAGAUUAUAUCUCAUUUAUUGUAGAGUAAAUAUAUGGAAAAUGAAUACUUUAAAUGAAAUAAAAAAAAGUCAUAAAAAAAAAGAAUUAAAAGGACAAGGCCAAUGAAGUAGUUUACCGCAAUUAGUGCUUCUUCCCAAGUCUGCCCAUUAUAGAACUGAAAAUUUUUUGCAUUCGUUUCGGUUGCGGCCCUUCAUCCAUCUCCUCGUAGAUAUUAAGUUUUCGCUUUAUUAGGGAACUGUUACCUAUUGAUCCAUCAUCAGCAGAGUGUUGCCGGAUAUCUUCAAAAUUUGCACAACACUUACUACUAUGCAGCUCUUGUAUUUGUUCCAUCUCUUCCAAAUCUCUCUCAUACACUAUUCUAACACCACACUUCUUCACCUUAACACUGUUAGGUCUUUCGAAAGACAACUCAAGUUGAUGGCAUUCCUGAUCUAAGCAACCUGUUGUCCAAAAUUAUUGGUUUCGCGUUCACCACAUUUGUCUUCCAAGGAAAUUGGAUACAACUUGUAACGAGAGUAAUAACGAAUUAAAAUGUGGUCCUUCGUUACGGGCUGUUCUAAACCAUUAUCUACAAUCCAGCAACUCCAAUCGACUUGUCGAGAAUCUCUACCCUGGAAAUUAGAUUGACUGCAAUUGGCUUGUCUAGAAUAUCUACCGUUGAUAACAGCUCUACACAUGAGAUACUCAUCCCUUGAAGCAUCAUUACUGACAAAAAUGCAGCAGAAAGCAACUCCCAUCCAUUGACUAUCAUUCCGAACUUCCAGAGGCAAAUCUAUCUUAAUCGGAGAGUCACCUCUUUGUUGACUAAACCAUUCUGGGAUUUCACUUCCAGGUAGAAUAAUGUCAAACUUUGCUCUUGUUCUUCCAAAUACCUGCAAAAUAAACCUGUAGUUGUUUGGUAACUUACACCAUGAAUAAUUAUAAGACUGAGAGAAACAGAGAUAUUAACGAACCUUUAGAUGUUUUUUCAGAAACGUUAAGGCAUCGAUGUUCUCAGUCAAUCUGAAGCAAUUAACACCUAUUAUAUUUGACCGAUUACUUGAAUUGCAAACUUCUGAUGGAUUUGCAACUAUUUCCAGAGAAGCACAACCAUUUAUUCUUACAGAUUCUAUACUUGUUAAAAGACCAGGCAACGAUUUAAGCGCCCUGCAAUCUGACAAUCUAAGAAAUUCAAGCUUGGAAAAUUGAGUAAGACACGAAGGUAUGCUGAUGAAAUUGUUACCACCAAGAUCAAGUACUUUCAAAGAGGAUAGGCGAGAAAUAUCACCAGGAAUAUCUCCUUCACAAAGAUUGCAGUCCCUUAGAUUCAGCCUUGUUAAUGAACUCAAACCUAACAACGAAGGCAACGUCAGAGCCAUAGUAUUUGUCCUUCCUCUUUGGAUUACCUUUAACAGAGAAGGAAGUUUUUUUUGCAACUUGGAAGAAGAUACCUUGCACCCAUUAAAAGAUAGAACUUUAAGAUUUUUAAAUUGAAAAAUGAAGGGUGGUGGUUUUGUCAUGGAUGUUUCACUUAAGUCAAGCUCCUCCAAGAAUUCUAUUUGCUGCAUAUUCUCUGGCAAAUAUUCAACUUUAAAACAACCAGAAAUAUUAAGAGAUUUUAAACUUUUACACCCAACUAUGCUCCCUGGGAGAUCCGCAAGGUUCCUGCAAUCUUUCAAAUUUAACAAAACAAGACUGCUCAGAUUUCCGAUUGAAAUAGGUAGCUCUUUAAUGCCCGUCCCAUCUAAAUAAAGCUCUAGCAGGCAUUCCAUUUUGCCAUCAAUCUCUGGAAAGCUUUUAAGAUUGGAGCAACCUGAAAGAAUUAACUUUUCAAGAGAUUCCAUUCCAAUUUUGAUUGGAAGACUCCUAAGACUUUUGCAGUCUUUUAAAUUCAAUAGUUCAAGUCUUCUGAGAUUUCCGAUCGAAGAAGGUAGCUCUUUAAUGUUUGUCCCAUCAAGACAAAGCUCCAACAAACAUUCCAUUUUCCCAUCAAUCUCUGGAAAGCUUUGAAGUUUUGAGCAACCUGAAAGAAUUAACUUUUCAAGAGGUUCCAUACCAAUUUUGGUUGGAAAACUCCUCAGAUUUUUGCAGCCUCUUAAAUCCAAAAGCUUAAGCCUUGUAAGAACUCCAACAGAUGGAUGAACAUAUACUAAUCUAGUACAUCCUUCCAAAACCAAAAUUUCAAGAUUUGGGAUAGUUGUGAAGUCUGGUGCCUUGAUCAGGUUUUCAGACCCUUUGAGGUUGAGCACUUUCAACUUAUACAGGGGCUGUUGAAAACAAAUAUAUUAGAGAUAAACAAGAGAAUAACAUAGGAAAGCUCAUUUUUAUUGUUAUCCUUCAAUGUUAAUAAAAAUUUCAUCUUUCUUGUCGAAAUAAGAUAGAAAACAAUGACCAAAUGAGUUAAUUCUUACUAUGUUUUCCUUCCAUAGUUGUUCAAUCUUGCUAUAAGGUAGGAGAAGUAUAACAAGGCUUUCCGGUUUGAAACUUGAAGGUAAUGAUCGUAAAGGACAUCCCAUCCAAUCUAAAAGUCGUAACUCAUUAGAAAGAUAUGUCAGAUCAUAACAAUUUGUCCGACAAAGGAUUUUGAGUAGUCUUAAUCUUUUCAUCUUCAAGAAGGCAUCCGC